GGCCUGCUGUCUUCACCGUCGUCCACACUCCACGUCACAAUCGAAAGGGAACGCAAGUGAAGCAAGGAGCGCAGAACUGCGCGUUGUGUGUCUGCAUCUGUGCUGGUAUCUUUUACGACGUUUCCCUUCCUUGCUCGCUCUCACACGUUGCGGAUUCCGACCUCUUUGAACACAGGAAUGCUGCAGGACACCUACACGCACAUGGGCAUGCCUUUUUUUUUUUCGACCUUCAGCGACGUGUUGGACAAUGCCGCGAGUCGUCGUUUCAGCCCUGUGCGUUAGUCACCUAUUCCAGCAUUGAUCCUGGCAUUUUCCUUUGUCACUUUCUUGAACGCUCGCACGCCUUUCUUUUUUUCGCAUGCAGCUCUUCGCAGUAUCUCUGGCGUUGAGGCGACACCCCGCAGUGCGUGAUGUCGCAGGGCCCAGUGCUCGCACUCACACUGUGUGUGUGGGGGGGAGGGUGGCGAGUCAAGCAGUUCCCCCCACCCCCCACCCCCACUCUCCCCCAUUCCAUGUGAAUGCUAAAACACCUCUCGUGGUGAUAAGGUCAAGCACCUACGUCGUGGGUAGGUCGACGCGAUGUAUUGCUGCUGAUGCCGACGGUUAUGUCGUGGAUUGGAGUUGCGUCAGGCGACCUGCGACAAGGGACACAUUUGCGCCAUCUACGUGAUGGGCAGAAUGACCGCGUGACUCGAGUGCAUCUUACCUGGCUAUCACACGGCUUCCUGGCAGAGGAAGGCUAAGCAGCCACCCCGAGAGAGAUGCGCGAGUUGGGUACCUGUACAUGAUGGAGGAGUGGCUGUGAGGCAAUCUACAGAGCGGGUGGGUGGACAGAGUACGAGCCAGGGGACCGUGCUCUCAGAGGACUGCGUCGGCGCAGUGCUCUAGCCCGCGUCUGCCGCUGCUUCGCGCCACGCGAUGGACCUGUGACAAACAGGGUGGGGGUGGAUCCAGUGGAGUGUUGAACUCAUGUUGUAUGAUUGAAAGUGGACGCGUUGAAAGGGAAAAAAAUCG
rnacentral:misc_RNA from 1 species